CGUACGGGGACAACAUUCCGAAAGGGAUGCUAAUACCGGAUGUGACGCUCCUAUCGCAUGACGGGAGCGUGAAAGAUGGCCUCUACAUGUAAGCUAUCGCUAAAGGAUGGGCCUGCGUCUGAUUAGCUAGUUGGUAGUGUAACGGACAACCAAGGCGAUGAUCGGUAGCCGGUCUGAGAGGAUGAACGGCCACAUUGGGACUGAGACACGGCCCAG
rnacentral:rRNA from 1 species